rnacentral:rRNA from 1 species
UACGGAGGGUGCGAGCGUUGUCCGGAAUCACUGGGCGUAAAGGGCGCGUAGGCGGUCGGGGGCGCGCGCGGUGAAAGCCCGGGGCUCAACCCCGGGUCGGCCGUGCGGACGGCCCGACUGGAGCACUGUAGGGGCGGGCGGUAUUCCGGGAGUAGCGGUGGAAUGCGUAGAGAUCCGGAAGAACACCGGUGGCGAAGGCGGCCCGCUGGGCAGUGGCUGACGCUGAGGCGCGACAGCGUGGGGAGCAAACAGG